rnacentral:sRNA from 1 species
AAGCGUACACGGUGGAUGCCCUGGCAGUCAGAGGCGAUGAAGGACGUGCUAAUCUGCGAAAAGCGCCGGCGAGGUGAUAUGAACCUUUGACCCGGCGAUGUCCGAAUGGGGAAACCCAGUGUGAAUUCGUUACACUAUCGUUAACUGAAUACAU